rnacentral:rRNA from 1 species
GGCUGUGCCUAUGGCGAAGGGGAAACACCCGUUCCCGUUCCGAACACGGAAGUAAAGUCCUUCAGCGGCGAUGGUACUGCAGCAUUAGCUGUGGGAGAGUAGCUCGGUGCAGCCU